rnacentral:rRNA from 1 species
UACGUAGGGUGCGAGCGUUAAUCGGAAUUACUGGGCGUAAAGCGUGCGCAGGCGGUUCGUUGUGUCGGUGGUGAAAUCCCCGGGCUUAACCUGGGAAUGGCCAUGGAAACUGGCGAACUGGAGUGCGGCAGAGGGGGGUGGAAUUCCGCGUGUAGCAGUGAAAUGCGUAGAGAUGCGGAGGAACACCGAUGGCGAAGGCAGCCCCCUGGGAUAACACUGACGCUCAUGCACGAAAGCGUGGGGAGCAAACAGG